GAUGAACGCUGGCAGAAUGCUUAACACAUGCAAGUCUUUGGCGAAGCUGUGCUUGCACAGCCUAGCUAAGGUGGACGGGUGAGUAAUGCGUAAGGAAUUUGCUCUGCAGUCAGGGAUAACAGACGGAAAAGACUGAUAAGACCUGGUAAAGUCAGGCGGACCCAUGUCCAGCCUGAUGAAAAGAGAUGCUGCAGGAGAGCCUUGCGUCCUAUUAGCUUGUUGGUGGGGUAACGGCCCACCAAGGCGAUGGUAGGUAGUCGGCCUGAGAGGGUGGGCGGCCACGGGGGGACUGAGAUACGGCCCUUACUCCUGCGGGAGGCAGCAGUGGAGAAUAUUGGACAAUGGGAGCAACCCUGAUCCAGCAAUGCUGUGUGCACGAUGAAGGUUUUCUGAUUGUAAGGUGCUUUCAGCAGGGAAGAAAAAAUGACGGUACCUGCAGAAGAAGCGACGGCUAAAUACGUG
rnacentral:rRNA from 1 species